UUUUUCAGGCUGCUGUGUGGACUAUCCCCUCAGUCUUUGGCUGUUACAGGAGUGGGAGAUGAUGCAGGAAAGGAAAGGCUGAAUAUUUACAGGCAUGGGUGCAUUUACCUCUCAUUCUAAAGCAGCUGAAUUAGAAGGAAACAAAGGCAGCCUGGUGACUCCAUCCCAGGUUGAGCAAGAAUCCUUGAGCCGGAGCUCGGUGCCGCAUCCAGAGCCUCACGACAGGAGCUGUGCCUUGAGUGGAGAGAGCAUCCCUCACCCUGAUGAGAAUUGCAGCCUGAAAAGAUCAUUCUGAUUCAGUGGUCUCCACUGUCACCUCUCUGACCUCGCAAAAUAGACUUUUCAGCUUUUGUGUAUCAGCUCCUGCUUUCCCUGUUCCCGGUGAAUUCUCAUCACCUCCUCCCCCGUGCUGACAUUUGAUUCAUUGAGCUGCAUUCUGAUUGAGAAAUCCCACAUUAGCCCCUCUUCUGGGGAGACUGACAGAACCUUUGUGAUAGAUAAGCUUUCUUCUGAAGUUGGAGAUAGCCUAGUGUAUACCUGCCCUUUUUUUGGUUAUUUUUUUGUUUGUUUGUUUUUUGUUGGGUUUUUUUGGGGUUUUUUUUGUGAUUCUGCACCUAUGGGGUAGGGCAGCUUCAGAACCAGGACGAUGGUUACACGAUAUUUUUAAACUCUAGCUGUGGAGAAACACAAAUGAUUUCAUGUAACGUUAAACAACAGCUAGGUUCUCUUUCCUUUCCCUUAUCUAAGGAAACAUAACUCACUCUGUGCCUGUGUCCCUAAUUAGUAACACUUGUUGCCAGCCUUGACCUUUCAACAGAGAGCUCAGCUCAGCUUCAUCUGUAGAGAAUUGCCACUAUGAUGUAGCUGUGCAUAAUAAUAAAAACAAUUUAAAACACA
rnacentral:lncRNA from 1 species